rnacentral:antisense_RNA from 1 species
AACCGACAUCAGCGAUUCAUUCUGCGAACCGGCACCGACCGCCAGAUAAGCAUUCAUCCCCAGCUCUUUCAUCUGCUGUUCGCCGAUGACGCGGGUGGUGAUGUUCUGGCUAUAGGCAUCCGCCAGUUGUCGUGCCUGAGACGCCAGGUACGCCGGAUUACAGAUGUUUGGCGGCAUGUUGCCGAGAUCUUUUGC